AACGAACGCUGGCGGCAUGCCUAACACAUGCAAGUCGAACGAGACCUUCGGGUCUAGUGGCGCACGGGUGCGUAACGCGUGGGAACCUGCCCUUAGGUUCGGAAUAACUCCCCGAAAGGGGUGCUAAUACCGGAUAAUGUCUUCGGACCAAAGAUUUAUCGCCUUUGGAUGGGCCCGCGUUGGAUUAGCUAGUUGGUAGGGUAAAAGCCUACCAAGGCGACGAUCCAUAGCUGGUCUGAGAGGAUGAUCAGCCACACUGGGACUGAGACACGGCCCAGACUCCUACGGGAGGCAGCAGGGGGGAAUAUUGGACAAUGGGCGAAAGCCUGAUCCAGCAAGGCCGGGUGAGGGAUGAAGGCCUUAGGGUUGUAAAGCUCUUUUACCCGGGAUGAUAAUGACAGUACCGGGAGAAAAAGCCCCGGCUAACCCCGG
rnacentral:rRNA from 1 species